rnacentral:rRNA from 1 species
GUCGAGAAUAAUUCACAAUGGGGGAAACCCUGAUGGUGCAACGCCGCGUGGAGGAUGAAGGUCUUCGGAUUGUAAACUCCUGUCAUCUGGGAGUAAGACCUGACGGUGAAUAGCCGGCAGGGUUGAUAGUACCAGAAGAGGAAGGGACGGCUAACUUCGUGCCAGCAGCCGCGGUAAUACGAAGGUCCCAAGCGUUGUUCGGAAUCACUGGGCGUAAAGGGAGCGUAGGCGGCGUGGUAAGUCAGAUGUGAAAUCCCGGGGCUCAACCCCGGAACUGCAUCCGAUACUGCCAUGGUUGAGGGUUGGAGAGGUAGCUGGAAUUCUCGGUGUAGCAGUGAAAUGCGUGGAUAUCGAGAGGAACACUCGUGGCGAAGGCGAGCUACUGGACAACAUCUGACGCUGAGGCUCGAAGGCUAGGGGAGCAAAAGGGAUUAGAAACCCUGGUAGUCC